UACGUAGGGUGCGAGCGUUAAUCGGAAUUACUGGGCGUAAAGCGUGCGCAGGCGGUCUGUUAAGACAGAAUGUGAAAUCCCCGGGCUUAACCUGGGAACUGCAUUUGUGACUGGCAGGCUAGAGUAUGGCAGAGGGGGGUAGAAUUCCACGUGUAGCAGUGAAAUGCGUAGAGAUGUGGAGGAAUACCGAUGGCGAAGGCAGCCCCCUGGGCCAAUACUGACGCUCAUGCACGAAAGCGUGGGGAGCAACAGG
rnacentral:rRNA from 1 species